UACGUAGGUGGCAAGCGUUGUCCGGAUUCAUUGGGCGUAAAGGGUGUGUAGGUGGCGCCGUAAGUCAGGUGUGAAAUCUCGGGGCUUAACUCCGAAACUGCAUUUGAUACUGCGGUGCUUGAGGACUGGAGAGGAGACUGGAAUUCAUGGUGUAGCAGUGAAAUGCGUAGAGAUCAUGAGGAAGACCAGUGGCGAAGGCGGGUCUCUGGACAGUUCCUGACACUGAGGCACGAAAGCGUGGGGAUCAAACAGG
rnacentral:rRNA from 1 species